ACGUAGAUCACGUACCCUUUGGAGGGGGAUAGCCCGGGGAAACCCGGAUUAAUACCGCGUAUGCCGAGAGGUAAAAGCAGCAAUGCGCCAGAGGAUCGGUCUGCGGCCCAUUAUUUAAUCCUAGUUGGUGAGGUAACGGCUCACCAAGGGUACGAUGGGUAGCUGGUCUGAGAGGACGAUCAGCCACACUGGGACUGAGACACGGCCCAGACUCCUACGGGAGGCAGCAGUGGGGAAUAUUGGACAAUGGGCGAAAGCCUGAUCCAGCCACGCCGCGUGAGUGAUGAAGGCCUUCCGGUU
rnacentral:rRNA from 1 species